GCUAGUUUUUUGGUUAUUUAGAAUGUAUAAUAUAAAGUCGUUUGGGAGUGGUUUCCAUCUCGACAUUAUGGUGUGUUUUGGCGCAUUAUUUUGACAGAUUGACCGCUGAUUGGACCGCGCUCCGUAAACAAACCACCCGCUAAGGAUAUUAUAUUUUGGAUACUAGUUAAAUUAGUUAACGCAUUUAAAAGUGUAGUAAAUUUCAGUGUGGGUGCCUUUUUUCUUGAGGCGAUUUUCAAAAUGAAUUACGUACGUAAAUAUUGGUCCACAGCUGGGCACCUCAGCUAUGCCUUCCCCCCAGGAGCGGCAGAACACACAGCAAAGAUAACAUAGAAUGUGAAGAGAACAAGGACAAGUGCCGAGAUAACAAACACCACUGAUGGCUCUCCUGAACCCACCCCCUCGGCACCCUCGGAGGACACUGUGGAGAAACCAGGUACAGGUGGCGACAACUUUGCCCCAUCAACACCAUCACCACCAUCAACCUUCACCUCCUCGUCAGCAUUCAGCACCUCCACCAGGAUCUCAGGGGGGCUCUCCACUGCCACGAUGGAGUUGUCCUCGGCAGUGAAGUAAGUGACCAGGGAGGAGCGGACAAUGUGAACAGCGCCAACCAAGGAUGAGUACACUGCUCUCACUUGUACCAGAGGACUCAGAAGGUGGAUAGACUGGUGUGACUCCUCUUCUUCCUCUUGUCCCUUCUGCAGGGGAGUGGAAGAUGUGGAGGUGUGGACUUAAAGGGUGGAUCGACUGGUGUGAAUCUUCUUCCUCCUCUUCUUGCUUCUCCAUGGUUGUGGAAGAUGUGGAGGUCUGAGACCAGGCACAC